ACGGCUCAGUAAUGUUGCGAUGAUCUGCUCUAGUUGUGUAAGAUAACCGCGGAAACCUGUGGCUAAGAGACUAGAAUGAGACGCAACCCUAUCAGUUUGUUGGUAGUGUAACGGACUACCAAGACUAUGACGGGUGACGGGAAAUCAGUGUUUGAUUCCGGAGAGGGAGCCUGAGAGAUGGCUCCCACGUCCAAGGAUGGCAGCAGGCGCGAAAAUUGUCCACUCUUUGUUGAGGAGACAGUUAUGAGGCGUGAUUGUAAGAGCGAAGAGUAAACAUCUUUGUGUAAUGCAACUAGAGG
rnacentral:rRNA from 1 species